GUGGGUGAGGGGUUAAAUAUAGAAGUAUUUUCCUUCUUGCUGAUCUAUAACGAUUUUGUUCUAUGCCAAUCCGUUGAAUUCAAGUAUUUAUGAAACGUCUACUGUGGGCCAGGCUACAAAGACAAACGUGAAACUGUGCCUGGCCUCAAGGAGCUUACAUUCAGCUGGGGCUGUCACCAUGUACAUAGACAGGCACAAACACAAAGCAGAUACAACGUGACUUUGGCUGGGGUAGGAACAGAGGAAAAGAAACCAGAAAAUGCCUCAUGUGGAAUUAAGUAACCUCAGAGCUGGAGCUUGAAGGGAAUGGAGCUCAAAUAAGAGGUUGUUAGUCAGCAUUUCUUAAUCUUUGGUGGGGGGCAGUAGUGAGAGAUAGAAGGUACUAAAGAUAUUAAUGUGUAUUCUUUACUGCCCCAGAGUCCCUGAGAGGCCCCUGCUUACCUUUGGAACCCCGGCAUCCAGCUAUGCUACCUUGCUCUCUCUGUCUGUGGGAAGUGCCCACCCUCUGAACCAACUUGUCAAACCAGGAAAUACAGCUGGGCUCCACACAAGGCCACCGCAUCUGACCACAUCAAAGUGCUGUACAAAUCUUCCUCUUACAAAACGAAUGACUUCCAUCCCCUCAAGAUCUACUGGUCUCCCUGCCCCUUGUCCUUCAUAAAGGCUACCUGAGCUGCUGCCCUCCCCCAGUCCUGCCCUGGGCUCUGUGUGACAGCUGCCUGCUUGGCCUCUGGCACAGUCUCAAGCCCACGGCCACACCAUGGAGAUAGGUACAACCUGAAAAACAUUACCUUCUUCUUUCAUCUUUGAGGAUUUGUGUUUCCAACUCUGAUUUUUUGUAAUAGCUUACAUGAGAACACAGCUUGCUUCCAGAUGCAUGAUGGAUGAAGAUGGUCUACUGACAGAAAACUGGAGUUCCAAAUUCUACCCUGGACCCUGGAAUUCACAUAACUUGACACACAGAUGUGUCUUAACUCAUAGAUGAGCACUUUCCAGCCUUGCCUAAUGAAUUGCCAAAAUUUCAAAUCAGAGCCUAAAGUUUGGAGCUAGGGGGGGGCCAAAGGGCGUCUCUUUAAAACUCAGUGGCCUAAGGACAAUAUUAAUGACAAGAGCCAUAAUCAGGGUCAGCAUGGCAUGGGGGGGUGGAGCUGGCCUUGAAAUCAGGGACUGGUAGGGAGUAGGUUCACCAAAGAGCAGUGUGGUAACUCCCAUAGAAGUUGUGGCCAGCUUUGCAGAGUCAGAGGUGUGGUGUGAUAUGGCCUCCAUCCAGGGAGAGGAGGAGGGAGGGAAGGAGAGAGAGAGAGAGAGAGAGAGAGAGAGAUGGAUGGAAGGAGAGAGACUACAGGAGGGAGAGAGAGAUAGAGAGAUUGAAAGAGUGAGGGAGGUAUGGAGAUAAAGGAUAGGAGGGGGGAGGGAGAGAAGAAGAGAGAGGAUGGGAGAGAGAGAGACAAAGAAAGAGAGAAAGGAUGGGGAGGGGAGAGAGAGUGGGGGGGAGAGAGGAGAGUGUUCCCUACAUGUCUAUCUCUUCAUGUGUGAAUGCCCACAUGGUCCCUGUGUGUACAUUCCCUGCAUGUGAUUUUUGUAAACAUCCGUUUUACCCAUUGCAUGUGUAUGCAUUUGUGGGAGAGCAAGUUCAAGGUUUAGGAGGGCAAGUGAGGAAU
rnacentral:lncRNA from 1 species